AAAUUGAAGAGUUUGAUCAUGGCUCAGAUUGAACGCUGGCGGCAGGCCUAACACAUGCAAGUCGAACGGUAACAGGAAGCAGCUUGCUGCUUCGCUGACGAGUGGCGGACGGGUGAGUAAUGUCUGGGAAACUGCCUGAUGGAGGGGGAUAACUACUGGAAACGGUAGCUAAUACCGCAUAACGUCGCAAGACCAAAGAGGGGGACCUUCGGGCCUCUUGCCAUCGGAUGUGCCCAGAUGGGAUUAGCUUGUUGGUGGGGUAACGGCUCACCAAGGCGACGAUCCCUAGCUGGUCUGAGAGGAUGACCAGCCACACUGGAACUGAGACACGGUCCAGACUCCUACGGGAGGCAGCAGUGGGGAAUAUUGCACAAUGGGCGCAAGCCUGAUGCAGCCAUGCCGCGUGUAUGAAGAAGGCCUUCGGGUUGUAAAGUACUUUCAGCGGGGAGGAAGGGAGUAAAGUUAAUACCUUUGCUCAUUGACGUUACCCGCAGAAGAAGCACCGGCUAACUCCGUGCCAGCAGCCGCGGUAAUACGGAGGGUGCAAGCGUUAAUCGGAAUUACUGGGCGUAAAGCGCACGCAGGCGGUUUGUUAAGUCAGAUGUGAAAUCCCCGGGCUCAACCUGGGAACUGCAUCUGAUACUGGCAAGCUUGAGUCUCGUAGAGGGGGGUAGAAUUCCAGGUGUAGCGGUGAAAUGCGUAGAGAUCUGGAGGAAUACCGGUGGCGAAGGCGGCCCCCUGGACGAAGACUGACGCUCAGGUGCGAAAGCGUGGGGAGCAAACAGGAUUAGAUACCCUGGUAGUCCACGCCGUAAACGAUGUCGACUUGGAGGUUGUGCCCUUGAGGCGUGGCUUCCGGAGCUAACGCGUUAAGUCGACCGCCUGGGGAGUACGGCCGCAAGGUUAAAACUCAAAUGAAUUGACGGGGGCCCGCACAAGCGGUGGAGCAUGUGGUUUAAUUCGAUGCAACGCGAAGAACCUUACCUGGUCUUGACAUCCACAGAACUUUCCAGAGAUGGAUUGGUGCCUUCGGGAACUGUGAGACAGGUGCUGCAUGGCUGUCGUCAGCUCGUGUUGUGAAAUGUUGGGUUAAGUCCCGCAACGAGCGCAACCCUUAUCCUUUGUUGCCAGCGGUCCGGCCGGGAACUCAAAGGAGACUGCCAGUGAUAAACUGGAGGAAGGUGGGGAUGACGUCAAGUCAUCAUGGCCCUUACGACCAGGGCUACACACGUGCUACAAUGGCGCAUACAAAGAGAAGCGACCUCGCGAGAGCAAGCGGACCUCAUAAAGUGCGUCGUAGUCCGGAUUGGAGUCUGCAACUCGACUCCAUGAAGUCGGAAUCGCUAGUAAUCGUGGAUCAGAAUGCCACGGUGAAUACGUUCCCGGGCCUUGUACACACCGCCCGUCACACCAUGGGAGUGGGUUGCAAAAGAAGUAGGUAGCUUAACCUUCGGGAGGGCGCUUACCACUUUGUGAUUCAUGACUGGGGUGAAGUCGUAACAAGGUAACCGUAGGGGAACCUGCGGUUGGAUCACCUCCUUA
rnacentral:rRNA from 9 species